rnacentral:rRNA from 1 species
CUCAGUUCGGAUUGGAGUCUGCAACUCGACUCCAUGAAGCUGGAUUCGCUAGUAAUCGCGCAUCAGCCAUGGCGCGGUGAAUACGUUCCCGGGCCUUGUACACACCGCCCGUCAAGCCAUGGGAGCCGGGGGUGCCUGAAGUACGUGACCGCGAGGAGCGUCCUAGGGCAAAACUGGUGACUGGGGCUAAGUCGUAACAAGGUAAC